AAAAUAUUUAUUAAGAUAUGAACCAUAGAAUCACCCCAGCUUCCUGACAGCAUCCAGUUCAGAACAAAGCCCUGCUUCCCUGAAUCAGCAACCCAAAUCAACAGACGCAAGUCCUAUAGUGUCACUGAGGGUAUUUCCAGAUGAAAUUAGUAUUUGAAUCUGUGGACCCAGGAAAGUACAAUUUGAAUCUGUGGAAUCUGGUCUCCUCUGUGUGCGUGGGAGUCAUCCAUCCAAUCUUUGAAGGCCUGAAUAGAACCAAGAGCAGAGGAAGGAGAAAUUCAAGGUUUUUUUCCUGCCUCAGGGCUUGAACUUUGACACCUUAUCUUCUCCUGUUCCAGACUGGGCUUUAGGUCAUUGGUUGCCCUGGAUCUCAGGCCUUUGGACUUGGACUGAAGUAUAACAUCUGUCCUAGCUUUGCAGCUUGCAGAUGACUGAUAAUGGGAUUCUCAGGCCCCAUAAUUCUGUGAGCCAGUUCCUCAUAAUAAGAUGAUUUGUAUAUAGGUUAAAAUCUUUCUAAUUUUUCUCUCAUGGUGGAGGCCAUCCUGUGUGACGAUGGCCCGGAUCUGCUGGAAGACAACAUGGGUGACCUGGCACACGGGGUCCUCAAGCACAGGAGAUGGAACACAGUUUCCUGUAACCCGUUUCCUGAGAAGCAAGCUGAGUCCCACUGGGUUAAUGUGACCUGUGUCCUACAUAACAGCUCUUACGUGCUGUGCUUUGUGUUUCUAAGUAAAUCUUUAACUUCCUUCUUAAAGAUGUUUUUGGCUGUGGAGAAAACCUACUGUUUAUAUGUUCUUUCUUUCCCGUCCACCGCACAUUUACAGAAUUUCCCAUUGUGAAUGUGUACGGUAAAACUUGCUGAAUAAAAGUUACUUAUUUACUUCAAAGCACUGUAUUGUUUGUAAUCCGAUCUUCUAGGCAAUACAUACAGAGCACAAGAGAAGGCUACAGGCGAAGAACACAUCCUUCUGACCUGUGAAAGAGAAAAAAAAAUGAAAAGACAGUUCAUGCUUUCCUCCGGAUUAGCAGAUGUUUUCCCCAAGACCUCUAUCAGUAGAUUCAACAAAUGAUGUCAUGGUAUCCUGUCAUGCGGCCUACACUCAGUUUUUAAUUUGGAGAUACCGGAAGGACUGGUAAGAGCAUCUUAUUCUGAUUCAAACCAAACUGAAUAUGGGUUCUAUUGAACGAAAUUAAGAGAGCCAUCAUGAUUGAGGCCCCUGCAAGCAGCCAAACCCAGCCAACCUGGUGAGAACUUCCUGGAAUAACCUAGUCCAAAUUGCUAAACUGCAGAGUUAUCAGCUAAAAAACAGGUGUCAGUUUGGAGUGAAAGCAGCAGCAACAAUAGUGACAGCAUCUAUAGUGGCAGCAGCUGUAGUGACAGUGACAGUAGCUACAGUGGCAUCAACGGCAGCUGUGACAGCAACAGCAAGGACAGUGACAGCAGCUACCGCAGCAGUUGUAACAACAGGUGACAGCAGCGAUGACAGCAACUAUCGGGCAACAAGCAAUAGUGGUAGCACCUGCAGUGGCAGCAGCUACGGGUAGUAGCAGCUAGUAUGACAGCUGUCACGGUGAAAG